AAACAAAAAAAAAAACAAAAAAACUUUAGGCCCUAAAAAAUCAUGACAUCUUUUGCUUUCAGUUUUGUUCCUCACCCCUGCAUUAGUUUCAGAGCCUGAUUCUGGAGCUCACAGCACAUUGCUCUGCCGAUUUUGGAUCUAGUGUAUAGGAGUUCACUGAAUUAUCUCCAGAAGAAAUGCUGAGUCAUAAGGCUGUGCAAUCUCAGAAGAGGCUAUAUUUAGAAUAACUCUGAGCUAGCCUGCUGAAGAAUGAGAGAUCCUGUGAAAAAGAGCCAAAUCGUCCCCACUGGAGACAUCCUAACCCACCAGUUUAGCACAGAUACAUAAGCAAGACCAAGAAGAGCUGAGCCUGGCACAGACCAGCACAAUCCACCCCGCUGAUCGAUAUAUACCAAAAUAUUUACCAAUGAAAUGUUUUGAUGUCUGAGAUUUGCUCUAAAAUCAUUGAAGAAGUGGAGGUGAGGCAGAAUGGGUAAAGGUGCAGAUAAAAUAAUACUGGCCAUGAGAUGAUAACUGUUGAAGCUGACUGAUGAUACAUGGAAGUUCAUAAAAAUAGUCCUAUUUUUUGUAUACAGUU